rnacentral:lncRNA from 1 species
GUUUAUUUGAAAAAGCAUUGAAAAAAAAAAAGAAAAGAUAAUAUGUUACUUAUAAAAAAAAAUCUAUCUUACAGACGUCAGGAUUUUGAAAAAGGGGAGGUUACACCGUCCCGUUGUCAUUCCCUGUUUUAUUUAUAUUAUAUACAUAUAAUAUAUAAAGUGCCUAGAAAAUCAACCUAAUAUAUAUAGAUUGCCUAACAAUGUAAUUUUAACAC